rnacentral:rRNA from 1 species
GACGUAGGGCGCGAGCGUUGUCCGGAUUUAUUGGGCGUAAAGGGCUCGUAGGCGGUCUGUCACGUCGGGAGUGAAAACUCAGGGCUUAACCCUGAGCCUGCUUCCGAUACGGGCAGACUAGAGGUAUGCAGGGGAGAACGGAAUUCCUGGUGUAGCGGUGAAAUGCGCAGAUAUCAGGAGGAACACCGGUGGCGAAGGCGGUUCUCUGGGCAUUACCUGACGCUGAGGAGCGAAAGUGUGGGGAGCGAACAGG